rnacentral:rRNA from 1 species
GAUGAACGCUAGCGGGAGGCCUAACACAUGCAAGCCGAGCGGUAUUGUUUCUUCGGCAAUGAGAGAGCGGCGUACGGGUGCGUAACACGUGUGCAACCUGCCUUUAUCUGGGGGAUAGCCUUUCGAAAGGAAGAUUAAUACUCCAUAAUAUAUUGAACGGCAUCGUUUAAUAUUGAAAGCUCCGGCGGAUAGAGAUGGGCACGCGCAAGAUUAGCUAGUUGGUGAGGUAACGGCUCACCAAGGCGAUGAUCUUUAGGGGGCCUGAGAGGGUGAUCCCCCACACUGGGACUGAGACACGGACCAGACUCCUACGGGAGGCAGCAGUGAGGAAUAUUGGUCAAUGGGUGCAAGCCUGAACCAGCCAUCCCGCGUGAAGGACGACUGCCCUAUGGGUUGUAAACUUCUUUUGUAUAGGGAUAAACCUACCCUCGAGAGGGUAGCUGAAGGUACUAUACGAAUAAGCACCGGCUAACUCCGUG